AUAGCGUGUGGUGCUAGGGUGGAACAACUAACUGCAUAGCAUAGGGAUUGCAUAGAAGCCAUCAGAAUUAGAAAAGUUGCAGGCCAGCAGUAAUUUACAAGUGUCUGCUGAGGACAGCCUCUAAUUUCAUGCAGGGAGCUGGACGAAUAAUAGCCCCGCCUACUUGUGUGAGCAUAUUGUGUUUGCAGUCAGUGAGUGAGUGGAGGUUUUGGGGAGAAAGGUGUCACGGUAAGGCUGCUUUACUUUAUUGAUCCUCCUUACUAUAGGGUAGGGCUAACAUAACGUAAAACAAGUCUUCAAACAGGAGCUGCCACUGCUUAAAAAUAACGGACCUUUUAAAGAUCCCUUCUCUCUGGGGCAGCUGCACACAAACAUUCCUAUGUGAUCAUGUGACAUCCUUUUGACUGCCUGCAGACCGGGAGAGUGAGAGAACGGUGUUUCCAGCUGGCUUAUUUAAAGAGAAGUGGAACACAAAUGAAUUUAUUUCAAGCUUCAAGAGAGGGGUUCAAGCUUCUUCUGAUCUGGAGGAUAAACAUGGAUAUCUUCUGCAAUUUGGAUAUGACAAGUGAAGCUUUUAUGGCCUCUGGCUGCCAUUUUAAAGAUGGUGUUUUUUUUUGUGAUUAAUAAAGCUGUGGUUUCAACAUUAA